AUCAAGAGCAGCAGCGGGAGAGUGUAAACACAGACACGAGGCAAAGUCUGUCUGUCUCCCCGACCUUCAGGAGAAGACCAAGGAGAAGGAGAAGAGGCCCCGCCUCACAGUCGUGGUGGCCCACUGCUGCACCCGGUCCUGCCAUCCCUGCUCAACAGGGCGAUUUGGUCCGGUAUCGUGUUGGAAGUCCUACAUCUUGAGGUGUAGCCCGGCACUGGAGAAGAAGCGCUUCCCCCUUCAUCCACCCCCUCAGAAGAUCCCACCACGGGACAAAUGGGAGCUGUAAAGGCAGUGGAGUCUGCUGCCCAGGAACACAAGGCAGCUGCUCAGGCAGUGGCAUCCGCUGCACGGGCCCAAGAGGCAGCUGCCCGAGCACAGGAGUCCGCUGCGAGGGCCAAGGAGUCCGCUGCGAGGGCCAAGGAGUCCGCUGCGAGGGCCAAGGAGGCAGCUAUGCGGGCCAAGGAACAGGCUGCCAAGGAGAAAAUUGAGGCCAUGAGGCUUAAAGCUAGAUACUAUAAAUUUAAACUAGAAAAUAAUUAAACAUACAACCAAAUA